UACGUAGGGUGCAAGCGUUGUCCGGAUUUAUUGGGCGUAAAGAGCUCGUAGGCGGUCUGUCGCGUCUGCUGUGAAAACUCGGGGCUUAACCCCGGGCCUGCAGUGGGUACGGGCAGACUAGAGUGCGGUAGGGGAGACUGGAAUUCCUGGUGUAGCGGUGAAAUGCGCAGAUAUCAGGAGGAACACCGGUGGCGAAGGCGGGUCUCUGGGCCGUAACUGACGCUGAGGAGCGAAAGCGUGGGGAGCGAACAGG
rnacentral:rRNA from 1 species